CAUGGUGAGCCAAUUUGUCAUGCAGAAUACACCAUACAACCUGAAACUACACGAGCUGAUGCAGAUAGAUGCAAGAAUGCCAGAGCGAGGGCGUCUUAAGCUACGUGUCAGGAAUUUGAAUUCCAAGUCAGAACUACUUGGUAUUGGUCCAUUAGCUCACCUGCUGUCAUCAUCAGGCAAUUAAUUGCAGAAUACACUAUAGCACCUGAAACAACACCAGCUGAUGCAGGUUUGUAUAGAUGCUUGUUCUAGCAGUAUAUUGGUU